CCUACGGGUGGCAGCAGUGAGGAAUAUUGGUCAAUGGACGAGAGUCUGAACCAGCCAAGUAGCGUGAAGGAUGACUGCCCUAUGGGUUGUAAACUUCUUUUAUAAAGGAAUAAAACGAGGCACGUGUGCCUUUUUGCAUGUACUUUAUGAAUAAGGAUCGGCUAACUCCGUGCCAGCAGCCGCGGUAAUACGGAGGAUCCGAGCGUUAUCCUGAUUUAUUGGGUUUAAAGGGAGCGUAGAUGGGUUGUUAAGUUAGUUGUGAAAGUUUGCGGCUCAACCGGAAAAUUGCAAUUGAUACUGGAAGUCUUGAGUACAGUUGAGGUAGGCGGAAUUCGUGGUGUAGCGGUGAAAUGCUUAGAUAUCACGAAGAACCCCGAUUGCGAAGGCAGCUUACUAAACUGUGACUGACAUUGAUGCUCGAAAGUGUGGGUAUCAAACAGGAUUAGAUACCCUGGUAGUC
rnacentral:rRNA from 1 species